AACGGCGAGUGAAGCGGCAAGAGCUCAAAUUUGAAAUCUGGCUCCCCUUGGGGGGUCCGAGUUGUAAUUUGUAGAGGAUGCUUCGGGUGUGGCCGCCGUCUAAGUUCCUUGGAACAGGACGUCACAGAGGGUGAGAAUCCCGUCUUGGGCGGCCGGUCCGCGCCCGUGUGAAGCUCCUUCGACGAGUCGAGUUGUUUGGGAAUGCAGCUCUAAGCGGGUGGUAAAUUUCAUCUAAAGCUAAAUACUGGCCGGAGACCGAUAGCGCACAAGUAGAGUGAUCGAAAGGUUAAAAGCACCUUGAAAAGGGAGUUAAACAGCACGUGAAAUUGUUGAAAGGGAAGCGCUUGCGGCCAGACUCGGGGGCGGGGUUCAGCGGGCGCUCGUCGCCCGUGCACUCCCCGUCUCCCGGGCCAGCAUCAGUUUCGACGGCCGGUCAAAGGCCCCCGGAAUGUGUCGUCUCUCGGGACGUCUUAUAGCCGGGGGUGCAAUGCGGCCCGCCGGGACUGAGGAACGCGCUUCGGCCCGGAUGCUGGCGUAAUGGCCGUAAGCGGCCCGUCUUGAAACACGGACCAAGGAGUCUAACAUCCACGCGAGUGUUCGGGUGUCAAACCCGUGCGCGCAGUGAAAGCGAACGGAGGUGGGAGCCUUAGGGCGCACCAUCGACCGAUCCUGAAGUCUUCGGAUGGAUUUGAGUAGGAGCGUGGCCGUUGGGACCCGAAAGAUGGUGAACUAUGCCUGAAUAGGGUGAAGCCAGAGGAAACUCUGGUGGAGGCUCGCAGCGGUUCUGACGUGCAAAUCGAUCGUCAAAUUU
rnacentral:rRNA from 1 species